rnacentral:rRNA from 1 species
UACGUAGGGACCGAGCGUUGUCCGGAAUCAUUGGGCGUAAAGAGCGUGUAGGCGGCUUGUUAAGUCUUGCGUGAAAUCUCGGGGCUCAACCCCGAGCGGUCGUGAGAAACUGGCAGGCUAGAGUGCGGGAGAGGAGAGUGGAAUUCCUGGUGUAGCGGUGAAAUGCGCAGAUAUCAGGAAGAACACCCGUGGCGAAGGCGGCUCUCUGGGCAGUGACUGACGCUGAGGCGCGACAGCGUGGGGAGCAAACAGG